GGCUGCUGAAAACCCGGCCCGCGCCCGGCAGCCGUACCGCAGACGAGCUCGCGCCCGCGCCGCUCAGAUCUCCCAGCUGGACAUUGGAAAUAGCUUUUGAUGGUUUAGGGCCUCUUUCAUUUGACCCCAGGAAAUGAGCUUUGACUGUUAGUCACCUGGAUGAAGAGCCCUGAGUUUAGCUCGUCAGAGUCCUGUAACCUGCAAAGACCCUCUGGUUGUACAAGGAUCGAUCGAUUGAACAGUUGGAAGGCAGAGGCACUUACCUUCUUCCUUUCUGGAUCAACUUUCUUCAAGUAAGAAUCUUUACACACGGUGGGAGCUCAAUAAAUGCUGUUGAUGGAUACACCUAGACAAGUAAAACAAAUAUGUCUUACUUGAGCCUGAAAUCUUUUUUUGGCACACAGUAAAAGAGCCAUGCAACUCUUAUAACUUUACAUAGAGAUAUUCUACAGGUUUACAAAGUAUGUAUGAAAAUUGGCCUGAGGAUGUUGGGUGUCCUCCUAAAGGGUGUGUAAGUGGGGUAAUGAUACUGGAAAUAGAAACUGAGAUUCUAUGUAAUGCUUACUACUCCCAGCAUGCUGACAGACCUCAUAAGAAUGCCCAUGCCUAGGUAGUAGGCUUUAAAGACUCACACCUUUGUUAACACUGCAGCUCCAUAGCAUAGUUUCUUAUUGAAACCUUAAGAAUAACAUUGAGCCAUAUGCUCCAUCCACUCCCCAGGUGACUGAAACCUUCCCAAAUUCCACUUACCUCAUUGUGAACUGGCAAACUAAUUUGUACUCCCUCAGCCAUGAAAUUUGCUACUCAGAAAACUACAUAUUCAUAAUUUGAGAAACUGGAAUGAUGUGUUGUAACUGACAGAUGAUCUAGUCUCUAGGCACUUAUUGCUUUUGGUUUUACUUAUUGAAGGUGGAAGAGAUUUCUCUCAUUUCAAUGACGGAUUUUUAUAUACUUUUUAUAAUUCUGGUGGCAGUGUGAUAAAAUUAAAAAAUUAUUGAUUCAGUUGCAAAGGACUUCAUUGAUCACCAUGCAUGAUAAACCUGCAUUGUUGUUUACACAUAAUAUACAUAUUUAAAGGCACAAUUCAUUUCAGAGUACACAGCACAAUGUGCGAUCAAAGUACAACCUUUUUUUAAAAAUUUCCCCUUAAAUUACUUUAGGUCAAAAGAAAUGAAAAUAGGUUUGGAAAGUAGUGGUAAGCCAUAUGUUAUCAGAAAUUAAGUAAUUAAAGUUUAUUGCUUUAUAUACUUUAAUGUCAAUUACAAUAAUAAUAAAUAAAGUGAUUAUGUAAUUUUUCAAUUAUUAUAAUCUUUUCAAGGGUCACAAUGCUGCAGUUUCCUCUUUGAUAACUUGGGCAUGAGCUUAGAAACCAUUGUCCUACCUCCUUGUAAGGACCCUCUUUCUAUGAAAAAUAGAUGAGUAGAAUAUUUUGACCAAAACAUAUGUAUUUUAUAGUUUAUCUUUGUAGCACAUAAAAAAUUAUGACAACCUUUUCCCACCAAGUGUUCUCCUUUCUCUGUUCUAACACAAGUAUGUGGUUGAAACUAAUAAAUAAAACUGGAACUCUAGCCCCUGAAAUGAUUAGAGUUUGAAAAUAUUGAAAAAAUAUAUUUAUACUUAAAAGAUUGUUAACUAUUUGACAUAGAAAAGCAGCAGCACACUUUCUGAAGAUUACAGAAGUCAAAUGCACCUAAUAAUAUUGAAUGUAGGCCUGUGAAAACUAGGUCUACUGUGAGAAAACAAUAAAGUGGCUGUUAAAUUGUACUAUUUUGUGUUGAUUAGAGAUUCGAUUUCCUGAAGGAUUGAAAGUUAAAGGAAUAAAAAAAAAAUAACAAAGAUGUCUCUACUCUCAACCUGUUCUGUUCAUUGUGGAGCUUGGUCCAUCUGCUGUUUCUGGAGUUUGAACUUCUCUCUUCCAAAUGUACAUGUGUAGACAUGCUGUUCUCCAUCCUCAUUUCAUGGUUCAACAGCCUUUAUCUUCAGUUUUCUUGUGAAAAGUUGGCAGAUGGACUUUAAGGAAAAUCAAGGUGGUCUUUUGAAUGCCAGAGAAUGAUCUUGAAAAGUACGCAUAGACUACAAUAUUGUUAGGAAUGAAUGUAUGUAUCUUCUAGAGGUGGUAUGGUAAUGGGGCAUCCAUGCUAUGCCAAUCACAUAGAUUUUCAAUCUGUUUUGAGUAAAUCUUUGCUAUCUGCAUUGUGAUACUCUGCUGGGCAUUAAUACAGUUCCCCAAGUAGAGAGAGAUUCCAUACUCCAGGUGCUCAGAGGAAUGUUGAACUCUCUUCUCAACUAUAAUCUAAGUGGUAAGUUUCCCAAGAGAGGGUCUGGAAAUUAUCUUAGAUGAUUAAAGGGGAUCAAUAGUCAAUGUGGUCAAGAUAAAUCUCAUUAUAUAAUUGAUAUUGAAGUAUAUGACAUCUGCUAUGUAUAGAAGCAAGCCAAGGCCCAGAAUAAUUAUCACUAGUCAAAAUGACAGAGCUACAUUUGAGCUAAGUAUGAGGAAGCACUAGUUCAAAAUUAGAGCUAUUCAACUUUAAAAUAAAGAAUUUUUAUUCAUUCAACAGGCAUUUACUGAGGCUACUUUGCACUGGGUUCUAUUGUUCUGUGUGUGUAUUUAAUAAAGAAAAUGUGUGUUUCCCAUCCUUGGAUGCUGAAGGAAGGUUGGGAGCCAAGCAAACUAAAGUAAGCAUUUGCUGGUAGUGUAGAGAAUGGCUUCCUGCAUGGGUUGGACAGUUGGACCAUAUGUCCCCUAUGGUCCCUCCUAGUGCUAGGUUUCAUUGACCCCUUCUAAUAUAGACACUAGUUAGAAAGACAGUAUAUAGGAAGUACCAUAAGUGAGGUAUAAAAAUAAGAUCUAUAGGAUUUAGAGGAAAAUGAUCUUAGAAGUAAUACUGAAAUAAUAUUAGAAUGCUGUAUAAUGACAAAAUAGGGGAUUAAAAGAAUGGAUAUGACAGUGCAAAGGGAAAUAAAGUGUCUACGAAGGGGGGACAAAAUGAGUGAAGAGUUGAAGAGACAAGUGCUUGAUGUGCUCAGAAGGAGUAAUAGUAAAGUGUCCUGGCCACAAUCAUGGUUUUUUGUGGAGGAGUAACAGGGAUUUAGGCUAGAAAAAUAGGCAGGAUCUUUGCAUGGUGAAUAGGGAAUGCUUUUCCUCUCUUUUAUGGAUGGAAGGACAAAAGAAUACCAUGUGUUCAUGCGUUACUUAAUACCACAUUUUUUAUGCCCCAGGAGACAGGUCAGAGUCACAAUUUCCUUUUUCUGGCAUCAUUAAACUGUAGAUAUACUUUUCUCCUUGUAGGGAAGUAUGAGAAUAGAUAUCCAUUGUUUUUGACUCUUAGGUGCUGUUGUUGGUUCACUACUGAAAUAAGAGUUUAAUCUUAUUUAAGCUGUUAAAGUACUAGAUCAAAAAAAGAGGUGGUUUUCGUUUAUGUUUUUUGGGGUUUUUUGCUUUUAAGGCCCAUACCUGUGACAUACAGAAGUUCCCUGGCUAGGAGUCAAAUCAGAGCUGCAGCUGCCAACCUACACCAUAGCCACAGCAACACCAAAUCUUUAACCCACUAAGUGAGGCCAGGGAAUUGAACCCACAUCCUCAUGGAUACUAGUUGUUUUUUUAUCUUGCUGAACCACCAUAGGAACUCCCCCAAAACAGAGUUUAAAUCACUAAUUAUUAGAGAAAUGUAAACCAAAACUAAAAUGAGAUGCCACCUUACAAUGGUCAGAAUGGUCAUCAUUAAUAAAUCUACAAAUAGCAAAUGUAGGAGAAGGUGUGGAGAGAAGGGAACCCUCCUACACUGUUGGUAGGAAUGAGAAAAUUGGUCUAACCACUAUGGAAAACAGUGUGGAGAUUCCUCAGAAAACUAAAUAUAGAAAUUCCAGGAGUUCCCGUUGUGUCUCAGUGGUUAACGAAUCCAACUAGUAGCCAUGAGGUUGCGGGUUCGAUCUCUGGCCUUGCUCAGGGGGUUAAGGAUCUGGCGUUGCCAUGAGCUGUGGUGUAGGUUGCAGACGUGGCUCGGAUACUGCGUUGCUGUGGCUGUUGGUGUAGGCCUGCGGCUACAGCUCUGAUUGGACCCCUAGCCUGGGAACCAACAUAUGCUGUGGCAUGGCCCUAAAAAGACCAAAAAAAAAAAA
ensembl:lncRNA